rnacentral:rRNA from 1 species
UACGAAGGGGGCUAGCGUUGCUCGGAAUGACUGGGCGUAAAGGGCGCGUAGGCGGUUUGUCUAGUCAGGCGUGAAAUUCCUGGGCUUAACCUGGGGGCUGCGCUUGAUACAGGCAGGCUUGAGUGUGGAAGAGGGUCGUGGAAUUCCCAGUGUAGAGGUGAAAUUCGUAGAUAUUGGGAAGAACACCGGUGGCGAAGGCGGCGACCUGGUCCAUUACUGACGCUGAGGCGCGAAAGCGUGGGGAGCAAACAGG